CUGCUGUUCGCUCCCAGCCUGUUCCAGACUGACGGGAAAGGAGAGCACGAGGUGAAGAUCGUGGAGGAUCUGAUAGACAACUACCUGUACGUCUUCGAUAUCGACGAGGAGCAUCAGACUCAGAUCGAGCUGGAAAUCAGCCUCAUCACCACCUGGAAGGACACGCAGCUGUCUCAGGCCGG